rnacentral:rRNA from 1 species
AGGACGAACGCUGGCGGCGUGCCUAACACAUGCAAGUGGAGCGACGAACCAGGCUUCGGCCUGGGGCAAAGCCGCGAACGGGUGAGUAACACGUGAGUAACCUGCCCUUAGCACCGGGAUAGCUCCGGGAAACCGGAAUUAAUACCGGAUAUGACCACGAUCGGCAUCAGUCGUGGUGGAAAGGAUUCCGGCUAGGGAUGGACUCGCGGCCUAUCAGCUAGUUGGUGGGGUAACGCCCACCAAGGCGACGACGGGUA